rnacentral:tRNA from 1 species
GCGUCCGUAGUCUAAUGGUAUGAUAGGAGCUUCCCAAGCUUCUGAUCCGGGUUCAAUUCCCGGCGGACGCA